GCCUUCAUGAAGCCGGAAUUGCUAGUAAUGGCAGGUCAGCAUACUGCCGUGAAUACGUUCCCGGGCCUUGUACACACCGCCCGUCACACCAUGAGAGUUGGGGAUACCCGAAGCCUGUGAGCUAACUAUUUAUAGGAGCAGCAGCCGAAGGUAGAAUCAAUGAUUGGGGUGAAGUCGUAACAAGGUAGC
rnacentral:rRNA from 1 species